rnacentral:lncRNA from 1 species
CAGCAGAUGGCAAGUACACAUGCAUGGGGGGAGGGAGUGGGUGAAUGCACUCGAGUUGCAUCUACAAGGCAAAGUGAAUGAGAGAACUGGACACCCCAUCCAUUUGGUCUCUGUAAAGAGCAAAACCAGAUUAUUUGCUUAAUUUUGUAUAUGUGCAGAGGUGCAGAGUAUCUUUGUAAAAACAGAUUUAUGCGAGAAAUAAAAUCUGCGAAAUGGCCCAGGAUAUUCCAGUCAUCAUAUCCAAUUGAAGACAUAUGAAGAAGGAAAGAGACAGAGAGACAGAGAAAAUGGGCAGCCCUACUUUAUAAACCGGUAAGUUUUCAAAAUCUUUUCAGAAAUCAGAAUGUUUCUCG